rnacentral:rRNA from 1 species
CACGUAGGGUGCGAGCGUUGUCCGGAAUUAUUGGGCGUAAAGAGCUCGUAGGCGGCUUGUCGCGUCGGCUGUGAAAUCCCGUGGCUCAACUGCGGGUCUGCAGCCGAUACGGGCAGGCUAGAGUUCGGUAGGGAGACUGGAAUUCCUGGUGUAGCGGUGAAAUGCGCAGAUAUCAGGAGGAACACCCGGUGGCGAAGGCGGUUCUCUGGGCCCUACCUGACACUGAGGAGCGAAAGCGUGGGGAGCAAACAGG